GAACUCUGUAAAGCAAUCAUAUACAUGCUGUUAAGUUGCUUUAUCUAGGAGAGUUUUUGUAAAGCUCCAGUAACUGUUUGGAGCGACACUGCGCUCACCCUUCCACUUGGGGGCGCUGUCCUACAGCAGUACAGCCUAUGAAUCCCUCCUCAACAGGCUGAGGAGAAACACUUCCAUGGGACUCAGACCCACAAAUCAUCAAGUUGUCACUGGACACUUCCACAAAUCCCAGUUUGCAUACAGUUCCUAAAAGAAUAAGAGAAGUCUUCUGCUGAGGAUGACAGCAUGGAACUGAGCAUCUGUCCAUGUUACAGCCAACAGGAUGAAUAUGAGAAGCUGCCUAGAUGCUCUUUGUGACCCCAUGGGCAAUACAGGAACCACUAUCACAAAGCACAUUGGUGACUGCCACCAACAAGAUCUGGAUGCAGAACGCUCAGCUACUUCUCCAGCACCAUGUAUGCCUGCUACCACGCUCCCACCAUGAUGACAAUGGACCUCUGAAACUGUAAGCAAGCCCCAGUUAAAUGCUUUCUUUUAUAAGAGUUGCAGUGGUUAUGGUGUCUUUUCACAGCAAUAGCACAAUGACUAAGAUGCUAGUGAUGGCCGGGAGUCACCACCAUGAUAGCUCUAGAGCCAAGGAGCAAGAGAGUUACUCAACCAUAGGGAAGACUUCCUGGCCACAGCUAUGGCCUUCUGUGGAUGACACAGCCAACUCACCAGCCUGCAGUGACUCAGCACAGAGAGAGCCAAAUAAUGAAGCCUGUGACCUCCUCCUACUUCUACCCAGUCCCCUGCCCAUGCCUCAGCAACCAAACCUAUCCAGAGGCAGAGGACAAGGAAACCACUGUGGUCCAUGGGCUGAGCCAGCUUCUUGGGACACAGAGAAAGAGGAAGAAAGACAGACAAAGAACCUGUUUAAUUUGCAGCUAUGAGUGCUGCACUUGAGGAAGGGCUCGGUUUUGCAAAUUUCUCUAAGAGACAUUUUUUGUUGUUGUUGUUGUUGUUGUUGUUGUUGUUGCUGCUGAAAGAAAUUAAGGGCUCCGUCUGGACUGAGGCAAGCUGGAAGUCAUGUAGGAUCUGAGUUCCCAUGCUGGAGACAGCCAGAGGUUAUUUAGUGAGUCAUUCUUACAUGAUGAAGAUAUUUUAAAAUAACUAUAGGGGGAAAAUGUAUUAGGAUGUGUAUGCCAAGUAUAAAAACUUUGAAAAAGCCAGAACUCUUGCCUCAAUUUUUCCUAGUAAAACCCCAACUUAUAGAACUGGAAAUGGCAGCUUGAGAAGGAUGGAUAUUAGACAAUUUUUCUCAUUUUUCUUAGAAACCAUCCAGAAGGAAUAAGCACACUGAGAAACAGAAGAGCAAACACCACUUUUGGCAUCACAAGGUGAAACUCAAGCCACACAAACUGCAGAGGGAGUGGUCCCAGUGGGCGGGCGGGCUGGCUGGCAGUCAAGGGGUAUGCUCACAGUUGGUGAUUUCAGAGAAGGCUGAUGGACCUUCCAUGUUAGAGAGCUUGGAGGAGAGGGUGGCAAGCAAGUCUAAGCCAGAGGGCAGAGAUGAGAGGUGGAAGGGAUGUGGGCAGGGCUGAACAAAAGUUCAUAGACCACGCAUUUGUAGGUUGGUCAGCCUGCCAGCAAGAAGACCAUUGUGGAGCCUAGAAUAUGGCUUUAGACGGUACAAGCUCAGGCAAUUCACCAUCUAAAUCCUGACUUUGAGGGAGAGGGAGAGAACAGGAGAGGGGGGAGACAGGAAUGGGCCAGGGACACGGAGGAGUUUUCAAGGGUGUGACCCCAGUUACCUGCUUCCUCCAACUAGUCUCCACCUCCUAAUCUGUGUCUUUCCCAAUACUGCCACCAAACUAUGAAUCCACCAUAGAUUCAUUCAUGCAGUAGGUCAGAAUCUCAUGACACAGUGGCUUCCCUAAAGUUCUCCCCUGAUACUGCUGCACUGGGGACCAGGCCUUCACCAUGGGAGCCUUGUAGGGGACACUUCAUGUGCCAACCAUAAACACACACACACACACACACACACACACACACACACACACACACCCCACAGCAAAGGCCUUUGUAACAGCAGGAGAAGGUGAAAAUGAACUGAUAAGAUUGGCUACUUAGAAAUGGAGAACACCUGCACCCACAAGAAACAAAACCAAAUGCUCAGUCAGCACAGGGGAACUCAGAAGACAGGAGCGGAGGAAACACUGACACUUGUAUUGAGGAAAAAGGACUUUUUACUCUUCUGUAAAAAAUUUUAUAAUUAAGGAGAAAAUUGGGCACACUGUACAGAAAAUUCAUACAAAAUGAAAUUCAAAUAUCCCCACAUUAGGAGAUGUUA